rnacentral:telomerase_RNA from 1 species
ACGGCUUGGGUAGGCUGCUCGGUUCUCACCGCGCAGUCAAACGCAACCCUGACGCAACGUUUAGUUAGAAUUUAGUGAAGAUGGUGAUUUGUAAGCCGUUUCUCUGAUCUCUACGAAGCUGUUGGGUUUAAUUGUUUUCGUACAGUUUAAAAAACGAAAUAAUGUAUGUCAGGGAGCCUACCCCCAAUUUUAUAAGUCCAAUUAAAAAACAAUAAUCUUCCCACAGGAAAUUGUUUUAUCAUAGGCCAAUCAAAAGAAGAUUAACUUUUUUU